AUGCUUCAGCAACAUACGUACUAAAAAUUAGAAGGGUACAGAGAUUAGCCCGGCCCCUGUACAAGGAGGACACACAAAUCCUGCAGCGUUUCAUAUUUCU
rnacentral:snRNA from 1 species